GACGAACGCUGGCGGCGUGCUUAACACAUGCAAGUCGAACGGAAAGGCCCUGCUUUUGUGGGGUGCUCGAGUGGCGAACGGGUGAGUAACACGUGAGUAACCUGCCCUUGACUUUGGGAUAACUUCAGGAAACUGGGGCUAAUACCGGAUAGGAGCUCCUGCUGCAUGGUGGGGGUUGGAAAGUUUCGGCGGUUGGGGAUGGACUAGCGGCUUAUCAGCUUGUUGGUGGGGUAGUGGCUUACCAAGGCUUUGACGGGUAGCCGGCCUGAGAGGGUGACCGGCCACAUUGGGACUGAGAUACGGCCCAGACUCCUACGGGAGGCAGCAGUGGGGAAUAUUGCACAAUGGGCGGAAGCCUGAUGCAGCAACGCCGCGUGCGGGAUGACGGCCUUCGGGGUGUAAACCGCUUUCGCCUGUGACGAAGCGUGAGUGACGGUAAUGGGUAAAGAAGCACCGGCUAACUACGUG
rnacentral:rRNA from 1 species